GUAGGUGAACCUGCGGAAGGAUCAUUACAAAAGGGGGAAAAUGGAUGGGUUGAAAUGGGUGGGGGGAGAGAGGGAGUGGGAGUGGGAGUGAGAGAGGGAGGGAGAGAGAGGGAGGGAGGGAGGAGAGAGAUUGUCAUUGACAUUUUCACUCUUUUUUCUUCCUCUUUCCUCUUUUCUCUUUCCCCUCUCACUCCCUCCCUCCCUCUCUCUCUCUUUAGCAACAUUGGGCCAAUUAUAUAUCUCUCUAUACAACUUAUAACAAUGGAUCUCUGGGCUCUU
rnacentral:misc_RNA from 1 species